UGAAACGCGUUGAUAAAGAAAGUAAAGUAAUCAUCUUUGUUAAAGAGAGUUCCUGUUUGGUGAGAGGGGAUGCAGAGCAAUUACUUGAAAAUGGCUUUUGAGCGGAUUUCCCGAAAAUUUAAGGAAAUACGGAUGCCCCCGUUAACCAGGCACAGUCUCCAAGAAAAAUUUUGGGUACUGAUCGAGGUGGAAUCUGUGAGGAUUUUACGAUUAAAGGUGGUAACGCAUAGUCUAUGCCCUUAGC
rnacentral:ncRNA from 1 species